CAGCAGCCGCGGGAAAACGAGGGGUACAAGCGUUAUUCGGAUUGAUUGGGUGUAAAGGGUGUGCAGACGGCUUAUUAAGUCACUUGUUAAAUUCUUCGGCCUAACUGAAGGUCUGCAAGUGAUACUGAUGAGCUAGAGGGUGGAAGAGAGAAGUGGAAUUCUCGGAGUAGCGGUAAAAUGCGUAGAGAUGUGGAGGAACACCAGUGGCGAAGGCGACUCUCUGGUCUGUAACUGGCGCUGAGGAGCGAAAGCGUGGGGAGCGAACAGGAUUAGAUACCCCCGUAGUCCCUGUCUCUUAUAC
rnacentral:rRNA from 1 species